rnacentral:rRNA from 1 species
UUGAACGCUGGCGGAAUGCUUUACACAUGCAAGUCGAACGGCAGCACGGGGGCAACCCUGGUGGCGAGUGGCGAACGGGUGAGUAAUACAUCGGAACGUGCCCAGUCGUGGGGGAUAACUACGCGAAAGCGUAGCUAAUACCGCAUACGAUCUACGGAUGAAAGCGGGGGACCGUAAGGCCUCGCGCGAUUGGAGCGGCCGAUGGCAGAUUAGGUAGUUGGUGGGGUAAAGGCUCACCAAGCCUUCGAUCUGUAGCUGGUCUGAGAGGACGACCAGCCACACUGGGACUGAGACACGGCCCAGACUCCUACGGGAGGCAGCAGUGGGGAAUUUUGGACAAUGGGCGCAAGCCUGAUCCAGCCAUUCCGCGUGCAGGAUGAAGGCCCUCGGGUUGUAAACUGCUUUUGUACGGAACGAAAAGCCUUCUUCUAAUACAAGAGGGUCAUGACGGUACCGUAAGAAUAAGCACCGGCUAACUACGU